GGAAAAGUGGCAGAAAUGGUAUUGCAGUUAUCUUGAAAAUAAUUACUAACCGGUAUACAGGUUCGAGCCCUGUCUUUUCCU
rnacentral:tRNA from 1 species